rnacentral:rRNA from 1 species
UGAGGGAUGACGGCCUUCGGGUUGUAAACUUCUUUCAGUAGGGAAGAAGCGUAAGUGACGGUACCUGCAGAAGAAGCGCCGGCUAACUACGUGCCAGCAGCCGCGGUAAUAAGUAGGGCGCAAGCGUUAUCCGGAAUUAUUGGGCGUACAGAGCUCGUAGUCGGUUUGUCGCGUCUGCUGUGAAAGACCGGGGCUCAACUCCGGUUCUGCAGUGGGUACGGGCAGACUAGAGUGAUGUAGGGGAGACUGGAAUUCCUGGUGUAGCGGUGAAAUGCGCAGAUAUCAGGAGGAACACCGAUGGCGAAGGCAGGUCUUUGGGCAUUAACUGACGCUGAGGAGCGAAAGCAUGGGGAGCGAACAGGAUUAGAUACCCUGGUAGUCCAUGCCGUAAACGUUGGGCAGUAGGUGUGGGGGACAUUCCACGUUUUCCGCGCCGUAGCUAACGCAUUAAGUGCCCCGCCUGGGGAGUACGGCCGCAAGGCUAAAACUCAAAGGAAUUGACGGGGGCCCGCACAAGCGGCGGAGCAUGCGGAUUAAUUCGAUGCAACGCGAAGAACCUUACCAAGGCUUGACAUGGACCGGAUCGCCGCAGAAAUGUGGUUUCCCUUCGGGGCUGGUUCACAGGUGGUGCAUGGUUGUCGUCAGCUCGUGUCGUGAGAUGUUGGGUUAAGUCCCGCAACGAGCGCAACCCUCGUUCCAUGUUGCCAGCGGGUUAUGCCGGGGACUCAUGGGAGACUGCCGGGGUCAACUCGGAGGAAGGUGGGGACGACGUCAAAUCAUCAUGCCCCUUAUGUCUUGGGCUUCACGCAUGCUACAAUGGCCGGUACAAUGGGUUGCGAUACUGUGAGGUGGAGCUAAUCCCAAAAAGCCGGUCUCAGUUCGGAUUGGGGUCUGCAACUCGACCCCAUGAAGUCGGAGUCGCUAGUAAUCGCAGAUCAGCAACGCUGCGGUGAAUACGUUCCCGGGCCUUGUACACACCGCCCGUCAAGUCACGAAAGUUGGUAACACCCGAAGCC